rnacentral:rRNA from 1 species
AGUGAACGCUGGCGGUAGGCCUAACACAUGCAAGUCGAACGGCAGCACAGUGCGUGCUUGCUCUUACGGGUGGGGAGUGGCGGACGGGUGAGGAGAAUAUCCGGAUCUACUUUUUCGUGGGGGCUAACGUAGGGGAACUUACGCUAAUACAGCAUACGACGUACGGGGGAGAGUAGGGGAUCUUCGGACCUUGCGCGAUUGAAUGAGCCGAUGUCGGAUUAGCUAGUUGGCGGGGUAAAGGCCCACCAAGGCGACGAUCGGUAGCUGGUCUGAGAGGAUGAUCAGCCACACUGGAACUGAGACACGGUCCAGACUCCUACGGGAGGCAGCAGUGGGGAAUAUUGGACAACGGGCGCAAGCCUGAUCCAGCCAUACCGCGUGGGUGAAGAAGGCCUUCGGGUUGUAAAGCCCUUUUGUUGGGAAAGAAAAGCAGCAGGUUAAUACCCCGCUGUUCUGACGGUACCCAAAGAAUAAGCACCGGCUAACUUCGUG